rnacentral:lncRNA from 1 species
UUUGGACUAGGAUUUGGUUAGGGUUUGAUUUAAGGUUUGGUUUAGGGUUUAGGAUUUGGAUUAGAGUUUAGGAUUUGGAUUAGGAUUUGGAUUAGGAUUUAAGAUUUGAUUAGGAUUUGAUUUAGGGUUUGGAUUAGGGUUUGGACUAGAGUUUAGGGUUUGGACAAGAGCAACAGGUUAACGAUCGCAAAGAGAGUAUGGCUAACAAAGCAUUACAAGCGGACAGGAUAAGAUCGAUCAAUUUGAAGGAAAGGAUAUUACAAAAUAUUUAAGAUAUUAUGUAAAGGAAAUGGAAUUGAAGCGUAUUUCAUAAAGUGA